GACGAACGCUGGCGGCGUGCCUAAUACAUGCAAGUAGAACGCUGAAGGAGGAGCUUGCUUCUCUGGAUGAGUUGCGAACGGGUGAGCAACGCGUAGGUAACCUGCCUGGUAGCGGGGGAUAACUAUUGGAAACGAUAGCUAAUACCGCAUAAGAUUGACUAUUGCAUGAUAGUCAGUUAAAAGGUGCAAUUGCAUCACUACCAGAUGGACCUGCGUUGUAUUAGCUAGUUGGUGGGGUAACGGCUCACCAAGGCGACGAUACAUAGCCGACCUGAGAGGGUGAUCGGCCACACUGGGACUGAGACACGGCCCAGACUCCUACGGGAGGCAGCAGUAGGGAAUCUUCGGCAAUGGACGGAAGUCUGACCGAGCAACGCCGCGUGAGUGAAGAAGGUUUUCGGAUCGUAAAGCUCUGUUGUAAGAGAAGAACGAGUGUGAGAGUGGAAAGUUCACACUGUGACGGUAUCUUACCAGAAAGGGACGGCUAACUACGUG
rnacentral:rRNA from 1 species